UGGGGAAUAUUGCACAAUGGGCGCAAGCCUGAUGCAGCCAUGCCGCGUGUGUGAAGAAGGCCUUCGGGUUGUAAAGCACUUUCAGCGAGGAGGAAGGUGGUGAGCUUAAUACGCUCAUCAAUUGACGUUACUCGCAGAAGAAGCACCGGCUAACUCCGUGCCAGCAGCCGCGGUAAUACGGAGGGUGCAAGCGUUAAUCGGAAUUACUGGGCGUAAAGCGCACGCAGGCGGUUUGUUAAGUCAGAUGUGAAAUCCCCGGGCUCAACCUGGGAACUGCAUUUGAAACUGGCAAGCUAGAGUCUCGUAGAGGGGGGUAGAAUUCCAGGUGUAGCGGUGAAAUGCGUAGAGAUCUGGAGGAAUACCGGUGGCGAAGGCGGCCCCCCUGGACGAAGACUGACGCUCAGGUGCGAAAGCGUGGGGCAGCAAACAGGAUUAGAUACCCUGGUAGUCCAGCGCUGUAAACGAUGUCGACUUUGGAGGUUGUGCCCCUUGAGGCGUGGCUUCCGGAGCUAACGCGUUAAA
rnacentral:rRNA from 1 species